GAUGAAGAACGCAGCGAAAUGCGAUAAGUAAUGUGAAUUGCAGAACUCAGUGAAUCAUCGAAUCUUUGAACGCACAUUGCGCCCGCCAGCACUCUGGCGGGCAUGCCUGUUCGAGCGUCAUUUCAACCCUCAGAACCCCUUUGGGGGAUCUGGCGUUGGGGAUCGGCAGUCCUGCCGGCCCCGAAAUAUAGUGGCGGUCUCUCUGUGACCUUCCCUGUGUAGUAGCGAUACCUCGCAGCGGGAUAGCAGUUUGGCCACGCCGUAAAACACCCAACUUCUCAAGGUUGACCUCGAAUCAGGUAGGAAUACCCGCUGAACUUAAGCAUAUCAAUAAGCGGAGGA
rnacentral:misc_RNA from 1 species